rnacentral:rRNA from 1 species
CCUACGGGAGGCAGCAGUGGGGAAUAUUGCACAAUGGGGGAAACCCUGAUGUAGCGACGCCGCGUGAGUGAAGAAGUAUCUCGGUACGUAAAGCUCUAUCAGCAGGGAAGAAAAUGACGGUACCUGACUAAGAAGCCCCGGCUAACUACGUGCCAGCAGCCGCGGUAAUACGUAGGGGGCAAGCGUUAUCCGGAUUUACUGGGUGUAAAGGGAGCGUAGACGGCAGCACAAGUCUGGAGUGAAAUCCCGGGGCUUAACCCCGGAACUGCUUUGGAAACUGUGCGGCUGGAGUGAAGGAGGGGUAAGCGGAAUUCCUAGUGUAGUGGUGAAAUGCGUAGAUAUUAGGAGGAACACCGGUGGCGAAGGCGGCUUACUGGACUGUAACUGACGUUGAGGCUCGAAAGCGUGGGGAGCAAACAGGAUUAGAUACCCCGGUAGUC